rnacentral:rRNA from 1 species
AACGAACGCUGGCGGCAUGCCUAACACAUGCAAGUCGAACGAGACCUUCGGGUCUAGUGGCGCACGGGUGAGUAACGCGUGGGAACAUACCCUUUGGUUCGGAAUAACUCAGGGAAACUUGAGCUAAUACCGGAUACGUCCGUAAGGAGAAAGAUUUAUCGCCAAAGGAUUGGCCCGCGUCCGAUUAGCUAGUUGGUGAGGUAACGGCUCACCAAGGCUACGAUCGGUAGCUGGUCUGAGAGGAUGAUCAGCCACAUUGGGACUGAGACACGGCCCAAACUCCUACGGGAGGCAGCAGUGGGGAAUAUUGGACAAUGGGCGCAAGCCUGAUCCAGCCAUGCCGCGUGAGUGAUGAAGGCCUUAGGGGUUGUAAAGCUCUUUUGUCCGGGAAGAUAAUGACUGUACCGGAAGAAUAAGCCCCCGGCUAACUUCGUGCCAGCAGCCGCGGUAAU